rnacentral:rRNA from 1 species
UCGGGAAUUUUGGGCAAUGGGGGAAACCCUGACCCAGCAACGCCGCGUGAGGGAUGAAGGCCUUCGGGUCGUAAACCUCUGUCGGGAGGGAAGAAGGCUCCCCGGACGAAUAGGCCGGGGAUGUUGACGGUACCUCCAAAGGAAGCGCCGGCUAACUCCGUGCCAGCAGCCGCGGUAAUACGGAGGGCGCAAGCGUUGUUCGGAAUCAUUGGGCGUAAAGCGCGUGUAGGCGGCUUGGCAAGUCGGGUGUGAAAUCCCGGGGCUCAACCCCGGAACUGCACUCGAAACUGCCUCGCUAGAGUCCCGGAGAGGAUGGCGGAAUUCCAGGUGUAGAGGUGAAAUUCGUAGAUAUCUGGAGGAACACCGGUGGCGAAGGCGGCCAUCUGGACGGUGACUGACGCUGAGACGCGAAAGCGUGGGGAGCGAACAGGAUUAGAUACCCCCGUAGUCC